GAAUAAGCACCGGCUAACUCCGUGCCAGCAGCCGCGGUAAUACGGAGGGUGCAAGCGUUACUCGGAAUCACUGGGCGUAAAGGACGCGUAGGCGGAUUAUCAAGUCUCUUGUGAAAUCCUAUGGCUUAACCAUAGAACUGCUUGGGAAACUGAUAAUCUAGAGUGAGGGAGAGGCAGAUGGAAUUGGUGGUGUAGGGGUAAAAUCCGUAGAGAUCACCAGGAAUACCCAUUGCGAAGGCGAUCUGCUGGAACUCAACUGACGCUAAUGCGUGAAAGCGUGGGGAGCAAACAGGAUUAGAUACCCUGGUAGUCCACGCCCUAAACGAUGUAUACUAGUUGUUGCUAAGCUAGUCUUGGCAGUAAUGCACCUAACGGAUUAAGUAUACCGCCUGGGGAGUACGGUCGCAAGAUUAAAACUCAAAGGAAUAGACGGGGACCCGCACAAGCGGUGGAGCAUGUGGUUUAAUUCGAAGAUACGCGAAGAACCUUACCCGGACUUGAUAUCUAACAAAUCAUCUAGAGAUAGAAGAGUGUCUGCUUGCAGAAAUGUUAAGACAGGUGCUGCACGGCUGUCGUCAGCUCGUGUCGUGAGAUGUUGGGUUAAGUCCCGCAACGAGCGCAACCCACGUCAUUAGUUGCUAACAGUUCGGCUGAGCACUCUAAUGAGACUGCCUUCGUAAGGAGGAGGAAGGUGUGGACGACGUCAAGUCAUCAUGGCCCUUAUGUCCGGGGCGACACACGUGCUACAAUGGCAUAUACAAUGAGAAGCAAUAUCGCGAGAUGGAGCAAAUCUAUAAAAUAUGUCCCAGUUCGGAUUGGAGUCUGCAACUCGACUCCAUGAAGCCGGAAUCGCUAGUAAUCGUAGAUCAGCCAUGCUACGGUGAAUACGUUCCCGGGUCUUGUACUCACCGCCCGUCACACCAUGGGAGUUGAUUUCACUCGAAGCCGGAAUACUAAAUUAGUUACCGUCCACAGUGGAAUCAGCGACUGGGGUGAAGUCGUAACAAGGUAACCGUAGGAGAACCUGCGGUUG
rnacentral:rRNA from 1 species